ACCCGAUCCUCUGAACCACCCACGGACGGCCACCUCCCAAGCUCCCACUCGCUCAGUCCAUCACUGAUACCUCCCAGUCACCCAUCCCCUCAGUCUGUCUUCGUCACUGCCACCUCUCAGUCUCUCACGCAUUGUAGAUCUCUGUCCUAUCGCCGUCACGUUACGCACACUGGCACACCUCAGCAGGGAGCCCGUCGUCUUCACCGUCGUUGCUUCUUCCCGCGGAGGCAUGUUCAUCGGCGUCAUCUGGUUCUGGUCGCGUCCUCUCGUCGUCGUCCGCGACAUCUGGACGCCUCUUCGCGUCUUCUCGUGGUCGCCGGCCGUCGCCUUUUUUCCGUCGGAAAAUGUCUUCUUCUGAUGCAUUGAGUAAUACUCUUGAAAAAAGUAUUCCAUCGGAAGAACCUAUAGCCACUAAUGUUCAAACUACUUAAGAGGCUUCUCAAUCUCAACCUCAAGAACCUCUAACCAAUACGACAACUACCAAUGAAGGAACAACAAACUCUACAAGUGGUGUUCGAAAGAGAAAGUGUGGAAUCACUUCAAGAUUGUCGAAAUCAAGGAAAAAAUUGAAGGCUGAAUGUAAUUAUUGCAAAUCGAAGCUACUUGGUUACCCAAAACAAGGAACUUCCCACUUGCAUGAUCAUUUCAAAACGUGCAAGUUUCGCACCACUAGAGAUAUAAGACAAUGUAUGAUGAAGACAACUCCAAUAACUAGUGGGAAAACAGUUGUGGUUGGUGCAUAUACAUUUGACCAAGAAAAUACAAGAAAAGAGUUAUCUAUUAUGGUUUGUCUUCACGAGUAUCCGCUAUCUAUUAUGGAUCACAUUGGCUUUCGACGAUUUUGCAAUGCUUUGCAACCUCUCUUCAAGGAUUCAAGUAAGUCAAAAUCUACCAUCUCUACCAUUACGGGAUGAAAGGAUGAUUGAGAUUUGAGAAUUGUUUUUACAAUGUGAUGAACUUUGUUUGGUUGUUUGUGGAUAUGGUUGGUUGUUUAUGUAAUAUUUGGAUGUUUAUGGAUAUGUUUGGAUGUUUAUGUUUGUUGUUAUUGCUAUUUAAGUCUUUAAAGAUUAUGGAUAUUAUGUUUGUAAUGACAA